GUGGCUAUAGUUUAAUAAAAACUUUAGAUUGUGAUUCUAACAACAAGGGUUAAAACCCCUUUAUCCACC
rnacentral:tRNA from 1 species